rnacentral:misc_RNA from 1 species
GAUGAAGAACGUAGCGAAAUGCGAUAAGUAAUGUGAAUUGCAGAAUUCAGUGAAUCAUCGAAUCUUUGAACGCACAUUGCGCCCCCUGGUAUUCCGGGGGGCAUGCCUGUCCGAGCGUCAUUACAACCCUCAAGCUCAGCUUGGUAUUGGGCCCCGCCGACCCGGCGGGCCCUAAAGUCAGUGGCGGUGCCGUCCGGCUCCGAGCGUAGUAAUUCUUCUCGCUCUGGAGGUCCGGUCGUGUGCUCGCCAGCAACCCCCAAUUUUUUUCAGGUUGACCUCGGAUCAGGUAGAGAUACCCGCUGAACUUAAGCAUAUCAAUAAGCGGAGGA